CUUCAUAGGAGCUCUGGAUCUCCCUGGCACAUGGAGUCACCUGGAGGAGUCUGAGGGCAGCCAGGAAAGCACUGAGUUUCAGAUUGCCACAGGACAAAAUCUUGUGCUUCUGAGCUCAGCAAUGAAGUUUUAAUCACCCCAAUAUACAUCUUUCCAUGACAUAUAUUUUUCUGUCCACCAAAGACAUAAUGGCUGCUCCUUUUAUGGGAAACCAGGAUUUAAUCCAGCAAAUAAAAUGACAGAAUCGGAGACCAUCCAAUGUCCUGCUCUGGUUUUCUGGGGCAUCCUAAGUUGCUGAUGUGUGAAAGUGAGACAAGUCUUGACAUACUUGGUAUAUCCAGCUUGUAUAUGCUUACCUUUCAUUCAAAUUGACUGUUAUUUUACCAAAGUGUUAAUCUUAAAUAAAUGUUCAUA